UACGGAGGGGGCUAGCGUUGUUCGGAAUUACUGGGCGUAAAGCGCACGUAGGCGGCUUUGUAAGUUAGAGGUGAAAGCCUGGGGCUCAACUCCAGAACUGCCUUUAAGACUGCAUCGCUUGAACACGGGAGAGGUGAGUGGAAUUCCGAGUGUAGAGGUGAAAUUCGUAGAUAUUCGGAAGAACACCAGUGGCGAAGGCGACAUACUGGCUCAUUACUGACGCUGAGGCGCGAAAGCGUGGGGAGCAAACAGG
rnacentral:rRNA from 1 species